rnacentral:rRNA from 1 species
AUGCUUAACACAUGCAAGUCGAACGGUAGCAGGCCUUCGGGCGCUGACGAGUGGCGGACGGGUGAGUAAUGCAUAGGAAUCUGCCUAUUAGUGGGGGACAACGUGGGGAAACUCACGCUAAUACCGCAUACGCCCUACGGGGGAAAGCGGGGGAUCUUCGGACCUCGCGCUAAUAGAUGAGCCUAUGUUGGAUUAGCUAGUUGGUAGGGUAAAGGCCUACCAAGGCGACGAUCCAUAGCUGGUCUGAGAGGAUGAUCAGCCACACUGGGACUGAGACACGGCCCAGACUCCUACGGGAGGCAGCAGUGGGGAAUAUUGGACAAUGGGCGAAAGCCUGAUCCAGCAAUACCGCGUGUGUGAAGAAGGCCUGAGGGUUGUAAAGCACUUUCAAUAGGAAGGAAUACCUAUCGGCUAAUACCCGGUAGACUGACAUUACCUAUACAAGAAGCACCGGCUAACUCCGUGCCAGCAGCCGCGGUAAUACGGAGGGUGCAGGCGUUAAUCGGAAUUACUGGGCGUAAAGCGUGCGUAGGCGGUGAUUUAAGUCAGAUGUGAAAGCCCUGGGCUUAACCUGGGAACUGCAUUUGAUACUGGGUCACUAGAGUUUAGUAGAGGAGAGUGGAAUUUCAGGUGUAGCGGUGAAAUGCGUANAGAUCUGAAGGACNCCAGUGG